GCCAGUGCUCAUUUUGAUGUAUGCUAUAUUGAAAUAAUACAGGGAAGAUUAGUAUGGCUCCCGUGCAAGAAUAACAUACAAAUUCAUGAAACAGUUCAUUUUUUU
ensembl:snRNA U6 U6 spliceosomal RNA